AUCGCUUUCCCUGCACAGCAAAUGCAGCACUGGUGUCUCUUUGACCCCUUCAGUUCCCAAUAUGUGGAUAGGGAUUCUCCAGGAGAUUUCCCUCCCUUCUGCCCAGAUGUUCCGUGGAGGGGUGUUACCUGGAGAUGCUAGUUGAAAACAUUCCUAUUUUAUUCAACUGCUCAGCCUGAUGGGUCUUGUGUGCUGGACACCUUUCCUUGCAAGGCUGGAGCCAGGCCUGGUGGUGCGUUCCCUUCUUGCUGGGAGAGCACUGUUGCUUAGGGAAGAAUGGUUUGUGGUUAAGUCCAUUACCAUUUGCCUUACUCAAGACUGCAAGCCUGUCUCCAUGUGAAAGUUGGUGUCUUUGCUGCCUGUAACCCAGUUUCUGAACUCUUGUUGGGAGAGAACUGCUGAGGUAAAUAUCCUGAAGUUACCCACCAUGAUACCGCUAAAUAUUUUGGAGCUAGUAGUACUGGAAGAAGUAACACAGACUAAGUUCACAUAUUUUCCAUCUCUUGACUUUAAAGACUGCAUUGCCUGGACAGGCAGAUCACAUCUUGGAAGCAGUUCUUCAUGCCUGUUAAGUAACAGGUUUGUAUGUUGAAAAGUACAGAUAAUCCCAUGGCAACAGCUGUCAGGUAAAAGCCCAGCCUAAAUCUAACUGAGGAUGCAUGCACUCCAGGAUGAACUGGUCCACAGGAGGCUCAGCUUCUGCGGGUUACAUUGCAGUGAAGACUCAGAUGUUUCAGAAGAAUGCGAAAGGUGUCCAUUCCAAAUGCCAGCUUCCACCAUGUGCAAGGGAGAGAAGUGAGUUCAGGUGAAGCAAAAUCUAGACUGUAAAGUCUUCAUUCUAACUCUUAUCUCCAGCUUUUACCUUUCCAACCUUUCAUUCCUAGCUGUGGCUAAUCUUGGCUCAAUGUUGAAAUAGUAUUUGUUUAAGGUAUCUAUGUAUACAAGAAUUAUUCAGUAUUCUCCAGCAGAUACAGUUGGUCAUGAUCCUGAUUUUUUGUAAGUAGUUCAAAGACUUCCACAAUCCUAGUGGAGAAGCAGGGCCUCUAGGUAUUCAUAUCUUAUGAAUAAGAGUAAGCAAAUAUGCUGUCUAAAAAUGAUUUAAAAGAUCACAACAAAUAACAGUGUGGUACAGUAGUACAUUGUGGUUACCAGUGAACUCUUCUCUCCUUACAUACUGACAUACUGAAAACCAAGGUGACAUGUUAGACCACUUCUAAAUUGAUUGGAUUUUGGGGUUUGAUUAGUCUAAAAUCCCUUUAAAAGAACUUAAGUGGAAAGAAAAAAAAAAAAAAAAAAAGCAAGCUUCCAAAGGGAAGUUGUCAGACUAAAAUAUUUCUGAGUUUUAUUGCAUACAGUGAGAAGCAUAGAGAAAAGAUACAAAAAUAGAUGAGAGAAAUAAUGGUACUUAUCUAAAGUCUUUCACUCCUGUAACUGGUCUGCACUUGUGUUCAUAUAUCUAUAUCCAUGUCAUUAUGAUCCUUGAAAUGAGCUAGUUGUUUUCUUCUGUUCAUAAGAGAUAUAUAUACACAUAUAUACUUAUUUCUUAAGGUCCAUUCUCUUAGGCGAAUUCACUAUCAUACCUGAUAUAAGUAACACCUUCAUCAGCCACCAGUGGGAAAUCAAUUAAAUCCUUCACAGAAAUUCUAUUGGUUUCAGACAGGAGAACAGCACAGAUGCUGUAAGUUUCUAGGACCCAGCUGUCAAAUAGUGUGUGUAGAAAGCUAUGAUUUAGAAUUUCCUCUCUAAGGCUUCCCAGCAGUGAGCCUAAAUGCAGAGUGUGGGUUAGGGAACCCUCAUUCUCCCUGGGGAGAUGAAACAAACAUGCCCAGAAGCCAGAAAAGAAUCUGUUCUCAUCUUAUUUCCAGCCUACUUUCAAACCGGAUGAGAUUUCCAUACUGAGAACUUUGUAUUCAGAUGACAAUGACUUUGUGCUACUUUGAUCCUAAUUUUAUUUCCAAGCUGUAGGGUUUUGUCCACCUCAGGGAAUAAUGCAAAACAGAUUCAGGACGAGUGUGGAAGAGUAUUUGUGCAACACCGUUGCCUUCAUUGUUAGAGAUUCUUGGUUUACUCAGUCAGCAAAUCAUUCACAGCCUUCAUUGGAAUUUCUGCCUCUUAGAACAAAGAUAAAUAAAUAAAAAGUACACAUUUCCA
ensembl:lncRNA